GAUGUAGCCGACAAGCUGUGAAAGGUCAGCGGAGCGGCAACUACUUCCUUUUCCGAUCUGUCCGCCAUCGCCGCCGAAGCAUCGAGAUGGGGAAGUUCAUGAAGCCGGGGAAGGUGGUGCUGGUGCUGGCCGGCCGCUACUCGGGCCGUAAGGCCGUCAUCGUGAAGAACAUCGACGAUGGUACCUCAGACCGGCCGUACAGUCACGCCUUGGUGGCGGGCAUCGACCGCUACCCACGGAAGGUGACCACUGCCAUGGGCAAGAAGAAGAUCGCCAAGAGAUCCAAGAUCAAGUCCUUUGUGAAAGUUUACAACUACAACCAUCUGAUGCCCACUCGAUAUUCUGUCGAUAUUCCCCUGGACAAAACAGUGGUCAACAAGGAUGUGUUCAGGGACCCUGCUCUGAAACGCAAAGCGAGACGUGAAGCCAAGGUGAAAUUUGAGGAAAGUGUUUUGCUCAGGAGCUCCCUCAGCAAGAAGGAGCUGUGAGGAGACAGUGUGCCACCUGGGGCCUUAGCUGUAGUAAAGCUCUCUGCCCAGGAGGGUGACUGCUCUCUUGGGAUGUGCCUGAUGGCUGCCCUCCACCUGAGAGGAUGAUGGAGAGUUGGGCAGAGAAGGAACAUGAUGAGGUUCAACAAGGACAACUGAAGAGUCCUAUACCUGGGGAGGAACAAGCCCAUGCACCAGUACAGGCUGGGGACUGACCUGCUGGAGAGCAGCUCUGCAGAGAGAGACCUGGGAGUGCUAGUUGAUAAUAAACUGAACAUGAGCCAGCAAUGUGCCCUUGUGACCAAGAAGGCCAAUGGCAUUCUAGGAUGCAUCAAGAAGAGUGUGGGCAGCAGGUUGAGGGAGGUUCUUCUCCUCCUCUACUCUGCCCUGGUGAGGCUUCAUCUGGAGUCCUGUGUCCAGUUUGGGCUCUCCAGCUCAAGAGGGACAGGGAACUUCUGGAGAGAGUCCAGCACUGGGCCACCAAGAUGAUCAGGGGACUGGAGCAUCUCUCUGAGGAGGAAAGGCUGUGAGAACUGGAGCUGUUUAUACUGGAGAAGAGAAGGCUGAGAGUGGACCUUAGAAAUCCCUAAAGGGUACAAGACAGGCAAGAAUAAGUGGUUCUUCCAGAAGCUGCGCUUCUAAAGGUGUAACAAAGUUGCAUCAAUAAAUGUUUAUUAAAACUA